CCGUCGAUAUGCAUUUGUUCUCGCCACUAAAGCGCACUACGCACUACGCUCUCCCCAUUGCUGUCCGUAUAUACGCAGAUCUUUCUCUCGUCGAAUAAGUAUUGUGUCCAGCCGAAUAAGUAUUGUGUCCAUUUGUGAUUAUCUCUCACAUCUUAAAUUCACAGCUCUGAGCUACUUCUAUAACAACAAAUGGAGGCUGCUGUUGCGACAUCAUCAAAUGAUUUCAUCAAUUAUUUGCAGUCAAUGGGUAUUGAUGGAGCCACAUUAAAUAUAUUUCAAGAACAAGAAUGUAAUAAUCUCUUACAUGAAGGAUACAUUUCCAAAUAGAAGACAUUGGAUCAGUACAGCAAAUCCAAGCAUCACAGAAAUUUUUAAAAAAUAUCCACGAUUGAUGGAUUACAAUGGAGAAAUGAUUAAUGUAGAGUUUCAACAAAUGUUUACUGGAUUAGAAGAUAACUUUUUAACUCGAUUUCCUGCGUACUAUAGUCAGAGAAUAAUAUCGUAUGCUAAAAUGCAUCGACGUGAUGUGUACGACCAAGUAACCUUUAAAA